GCCAGAGUGGUGUAGUGGUUUGAGUGUUGGACUAUGAUUCUGAAGACCAAAGUUCAAAUUCCUGUUUGGGCA